UACGAGGGGGGCGAGCGUUGUUCGGAAUUAUUGGGCGUAAAGGGUGCGUAGGCGGUUUGGUAAGUCUGAUGUGAAAUCUAUGGGCUCAACUCAUAGUCUGCAUCGGAAACUGCCGGGCUUGAGUGUGGGAGAGGUGAGUGGAAUUCCUGGUGUAGCGGUGAAAUGCGUAGAUAUCAGGAGGAACACCUGUGGCGAAAGCGGCUCACUGGACCAUAACUGACGCUGAUGCACGAAAGCUAGGGGAGCGAAUGGG
rnacentral:rRNA from 1 species